GGAGAGAUGUCCGAGUGGCCGAAGGAGCACGAUUGGAAAUCGUGUGUACUGCAAGGUACCGAGGGUUCGAAUCCCUCUCUCUCCG
rnacentral:tRNA from 1 species